rnacentral:rRNA from 1 species
CCUACGGGAGGCAGCAGUAGGGAAUCUUCCACAAUGGGCGAAAGCCUGAUGGAGCAACGCCGCGUGGGUGAAGAAGGUCUUCUGAUCGUAAAACCCUGUUGUUAGAGAAGAAAGUGCGUGAGAGUAACUGUUCACGUUUCGACGGUAUCUAACCAGAAAGCCACGGCUAACUACGUGCCAGCAGCCGCGGUAAUACGGAGGUGGCAAGCGUUAUCCGGAUUUAUUGGGCGUAAAGGGAACGCAGGCGGUCUUUUAAGUCUGAUGUGAAAGCCUUCGGCUUAACCGGAGUAGUGCAUUGGAAACUGGGAGACUUGAGUGCAGAAGAGGAGAGUGGAACUCAAUGUGUAGCGGUGAAAUGCGUAGAUAUAUGGAAGAACACCAGUGGCGAAAGCGGCUCUCUGGGCUGUAACUGACGCUGAGGUUCGAAAGCGUGGGUAGCAAACAGGAUUAGAUACCCCAGUAGUC